rnacentral:lncRNA from 1 species
CCUGGGCUCUGUGUGGCCUCCUCUCUCAGCCGCCGCUCUGGCUGCCCUCAUCUCUCACUGGCCCCCAGGUUCCUCUGACGAGUCCCGUCUCUCCUAGCCCAGGCCUCUGAGAGCUCCGUCCAUGACCGCCCUGGGUCCGGCCUCGUCUCCCCAGAGCGUCAAAGCACUGUCCCUGGCCUGGGGCCAGUGCUGCCCGCGGGAUGGCCUAGGCCCUGCACAUGCUGGUCCUCCAUGAGGCCUCUGUGACCUGCCAUCACAGGGGCAUUGGCCUUGUGGACAUGGCCAGUGGCAGGCAGAACAGCAGGACACACUUCCCCACAAGGGACUCCAGGCUGGGGGUCAGUGGCCACAUCUCCGUGGACAACUCUGCUGCAAGAGUGAGGGCAGGGCUCUCCUCCUGGAAGGCCAUCUCGGACUAUGUGAAGGGUCAGUUUGAGCCAAGAGGAAGUGAAAGUCCUCAGGAGAUGGAGAAAUAGAAGACAGGGGAAGGCUGUGUUGCCUUUCUGGGGAGAAGAAAGGUUGUCAGGAAGAACUGGGAUUCACUGGGGGCAGAAGUUUUAGAUAAGGGACGCAGAAGUGAGGCACCCUCUGCCCCAGCCCUUGUACGGGUCUCUGGACUGUCUCUCUCAAUUGUCACAUGGGUCUGCAAUUGUCACAUGGGUCUGCUUGAGGCCCUCAGACAGGCAAGCUGAGCUGCCGGGCUGCCUGGGGACAGCCACUCUCCAGAGCUGGAGUUGGAUGGACCGUGCUGUGCUGGUGGCCAGGCUGGGCCUCCCUGUCCCUGCUUCCCCAGGAGGGGGGUGGGGUGAGUGGUGAGGACAUGCAGGGCACACAGAUGUCAUCCAGGGUCUCCAUUGCACUGGACAGCCCUGCCCAGGAACACAGAGAGGGCACUGCCAAGUGGCUGAGCAGAACAGUCCUGUGUGGGAAUGAAGAGGUAACGAGCUGAGCCGGGUCCCCCAGAAAGAUGCUCACACGUCCCAACCCCGGGGGCCUCAGGUGAGACCCUAAUUGCAGACACGAUCUUUAGAGCAAAAGUAAAAGAAAACCUGGGGUUGUGAGGCUGAGCCUAAGCCAGCCUGACUGGUGUCCUCGGGUGAGGGGGAAGUUUGGACACAGGCCAGCAGGUGGACUCCCACGGGGAAGACCCAGAGACUUCUCAGUCUCAUCUAUAGCCAAGGGACACGGAGGACGCCAGGCAACACCUGGAGCAGGAAGAGCCAAGAACAGACCCUCCCGGGAAUCCUCAGGGAGAAGUGGCCUGGGGAUGCCCAGCUCAGACUCACACCCCCAGAACUGUGGGACAGCGAAUUUGUAUGGUAUUAAGCCACCAACUUGGUGGUGACUUGCAACAGCAGCCUCAGGAUACUCACAAGGAUUGGGCUGAGAGCUGGCCAGACUCUGGUCCCAAAGGAAUAGCCAUGUCUUGGACCGUGGUAAAAACCCGGGGAGAUCCACACAGCCUGGAGGAAGACAGUGCCAUGAUAAAGGGACUCCAGGAGAGCUGAGAGGGACAGCUCUGAGGAAGAGGGAGGGCUAGGGCAGGUGUGCAGAGGCAGGGCCCCACGCCAGCUGGCCAGGCUGACCUCCACGUCUGCGCCACAGCCAGCAGGAAGCAGUCUGGACCCUGUGGGCUGUGGGGACCUCAGGGAACCUGGGCCUGUUGGCCUUCCCAGGCCUUGGCCGGCCACACGCAGCCUUCGCUGUGCCUGGCCAUUCACCUCCAUGCUCCAGCGAGCUUGUGAGGACAGCACCUUCAGAGGAAGAGCAGCUGAACCCAGCACCUCUCGCCCAAGGGUGUGGGCGCCAGGCCCUGGAGCGGGGACGGCCCCAGAUCAGACGGGCUGUAAGUCACGGGGAGAAUGAGAUCACCAACUAGUGUCACACUUAAAUCUUACACUUCAGCCUCCCCCAGCCCCUGCCCUCACACAUAUUGCCUCUCUGGGGGUGAUUUCAGUCAAGUGACCACAGCUGCCCAUUUUUAGAAAGGCUGACAUUUCCUAUUAAGAUAGCUUUCAUCAGAUGAUGAUGAUGAUGAUGAAGGUUUCCCGGUGCUGGAGCAGAGAGGACAGGGUGGGCUGACCCCCUGGGGAAAGGAGGCUGACACUCACCUCCUCUAAGAGCCCUCAGCAGCCAGCCUGGGUGGUUCCAGGCUGACCCCAUUUAGAACUGAGCAACCUCAUUGCAGACAACCCACAGAUGUGAGCACAGAGGGAAGGAUGGUUCCUACCCGAAAACCCCUCCACUCAUGGCCCCUCCAUCUCCACCACAUGGCCCUUCCAUCACUACUGCCUUGACCCCUCUAUCCCCACCACCAUGGCCCCUCCAUACCACAACUCAUGGCCCCUCCAUCCCCACCAUCAUGAUCCCCUCCAUCUCCACCACAUGGCCCCUCCAUCCCACCACUCAUGGCCCCUCCAUCCCACCACUCAUGGCCCCUCCAUCCCCACCACCAUGACCCCUCCAUCCCCACCACUCAAGGCCCCUCCUUCUUCACCACAUGGGCCCUCCUUCUCCACCACCAUGACCCCUCCAUCCCACCACUCAAGGCCCCUCCAUCCCACCACUCAAGGCCCCUCCAUCCCACCACUCAAGGCCCCUCCUUCUUCACCACAUGGGCCCUCCAUCCCACCAACAUACAGCUCCUUUCCCCUUGUCAUUAUUGUGGUUUGUGACUCAACUCUGAAGCCAUCUCAUGCCAACUUCUGCUGAUGAAUUUUGCAGUUUAUGUGAAACAAGGGAACUUGUUCUUUGUGCAAACACAACACAAAAGAAUCUGGAAACCCAUUUGUAGCAAGAACUUUCAACUCAUUUGUGAAUCUUUUGAUGAAACCCAAACAUCAGCUGGCUUUGAAUCGAUACUCCUGGGUGUGCCAGCAAAGGGUACCUUAUUUGGAAGCAGCAGUGUUGUCUCGGCCUCUUUUGUUAGCAACUGAUUUGCAUUGAAGCAUUGGCAGGUUUUUGGAAGGACAAGCUUCAGGAGUAUAUCAGUGUCACUUACAGAGGAGGAAAACACUUCAGACUUGUUUCUGCCAAUCAGCUUGUUUUUCUUUGAUCUAAGCUAUGACCUGGAUGGAACAUUGGUGCUGCACCAAUGUCUAAGGGCGCCACUGAUCUUGGCGGAUGCCAAGGUCCACUGUUCCAGGUGUUUGUUCUUCGUGCCCUCAUGUACUUGUCUACAGGGGACAGACACCCAGCUGGCUUAACUGAGAAUGGGCAUCGGUGGCUCAUUUGUUCAUUCAGCACGCACUCUCAGCCCCUGCUCUAUCACAGCAUGUCUGGGCACUACAGACGGAGGCGUGAACACACCCGCGUCUGCCCCUGGAGCUCACAUAAGCUCGCAGGCUUCUGAUACAACGGGUCAGGUCUCAUGGGGUGUUGGGGGGCUCUGAAGUUUUCUUCUUUCCUGCGUCAGCCUCUCAGGUGCUCUGUUCCCCAUGGUUCACACAAAAUCACAGGAGGAGGAUCUCGGGGGCACUAAGCCAAGGCAGCCUUGGAGCCACCACACGGGCCACAAGUGGGGCCAUGGGGUCAAGAUGCUGCGAUGGGCAACUUGGGUCAUGUUUCCACCUGGACACCAACCCCCCCCCCCAGCUUACCAGAGGCUGAGGUUGAGGUGCAAAAGGAAUGAGCUGAUGGGUCAAGCCUGACCCCGUCGGCCACAUCUGAAACCCAGGGUUCAGGCUGCACAGGACAGGGCUUGGGGGAGGUGGGCUCCUCGGGGACUAUGUGGCUUGGGUUCCCAGCAAAAGAAUGAAUGGAUAUUGGCAGAUAAAUCAGUUGACUUCCCCUGAGAAUGGUUAAUUUUAUGUAUCCAUUUGGCAAGACGAUAUUUCCCAGUCACUCACAGAACCGUCCAGAUGUUGCUGUGAAGGUGUUUUUCAGAUGAACAGCGCACCUGGAGUAACUCAGAUGACCUUCAUAAGGUGGGUGGGCCUUCUCCAAUCAGCUGAAGGCCUUCAGAGAAAGUCUGAGGUUUUCCAAAAUGGAGGGAAUUCUGCUCCUACCUGGCAUCAUGAUGAACUGCACCAUCAGCUCCUCCAUGUCUUUACAACCUGCUCCCACGAUCACAAGUACCAACUCCUCACAGAAAUCAGCCUCUUUCUCUGCCUCCCCCCAUGGAUCAGUUUCUCUGGGGGCCUUGACUAAUAGACCCCACGAGGGGCGGGGUUAUGAGGAAACACACCUUGUCACAGAUACUCGGGCCUGGAACUGCACACGGCCCCCAUGAGUCCUGAAGGCUUGGUUGUAGGGCCACCAUGAGGCCAGCAGGGCGGAGUUGCCCACACACUCGUGCUGCUCUCCGCAGCUGACCUGUGUCCUGCAGGACGCCCUGCCUGGUUCUGAGCUCAAAGCUCUUCGCCUUUGUGGGUUCAGAGGAUCUUGUUUUUUCCCUUCCAGGGUGACCUUGCCCCGAGUUCUCAGCCCUUGCUAUAUCCUGCUAAAUCUCCCUGCUAUUCCCCGUUAGAAUGGAAACAAUUGACUGCUUAAAUAAUUUAUCCAGAUUCCAUGCAGCCAGUCUUUUGAAGAAACUCAUCAGCUAAUAAAGAAAAUUGAUUUUAGAAGCCAAAGUCAAUACGGGUUAGGGAGACGCUCCCGUUGGCAUGUUCCCAUCUCCUGAGAUCCUGCCGCUGUCUGAUGAGGAGACCAGCUGGGGGACACUUUACUGAAGGUUUUCCUUCAUUCAUCUAUUUUUUUUAGGUAGCGUGCUGCUAUUCAUCCAAAGCUGGAGGGGGUAAUGGAUGCUGAGAAUUUACUAGCGAUUUGAUCAUAAAAAUGAAGCUUUCUGUCCUCGGGUGCUUGGACUGGGAGCUGACUUGCUGGUGUGGCCUGAAUUUUACUGGGGUCCAACUAGUGCAUGUUCCUGUCUCAUCACCUUCAGGUUCAGCCAGGAGCCGACUUGAGUGCUCACAGUGUGUUUCAUUGUAUGUGUUCCAAUAACAGGCUCAUUCGUAAUUAGGGGAAAUGAUUUACAUAGAGACAAUUAAUAUAAUAAGGUAUCCAGAAACAAUUCUUCCCCCUUUGAAUAGCUCCUUUGUAAUUUUGUUCACUUGACUCAUUACCUCCCAAGCCCUUUGUUCUCAGAUAAUGAAAAGGUGAGUUUCAGCUGAACCAGGGCUGGCAGCCUCUCUGUCUCGGGAAGGUGCACAGACGGGAGGGGCUCCUGGCUCAGCCUGCAGAGGGGCUCAGGAGCAGGUGGCCCACUUCACCCCAGCCGAGCCCCUGCCACCGACUGCCCGGCAGGCCUGGGUGAGGCCUGGCAAUGUGCACUGUAGCAAACUUCCAGGUGACGCGGGCGCUGCCGGCCCCAGGCCCUGCCCUGAGGACCACAUGUUCUUCAGCUGUCACUUGAGGACUGCUGCAGGUGCAUUGAUGACAGUGAAGGGAUCACCCCCACAGGCCCUUGCUAGGCGUCUGGCAGGACUUGGCAGCCGAGCUUCCAAACGUCCUCGGCACUCUCCCCUCCCUCUUCCAUCCUCUGGGCAGCAACCCCCUUUGCACCGUCUCCCAUGGAGAUGGAGACAUGGAGUCCACGCUCAAACAUGGCCUGAAUCCUCCCCAGCCAUCCCCACCCUCUUGCUCCAGUCCCCACCCCACCCUGCCAACUUCUAGAACAUGCUCUCUCCUUGCAGAACAGCUGUUGGGGGCAGGGCGAGUCUCAGGACAGGGACGGAUGUAGGCGUUGUGGUCCCAGGUGGAGUACAGAGGGAAGAGCAGAGCGCCAAAUGCCGUCCACCAGGGGUUGAAACUCAGGCUGCUGUUGCUGCCAAUGUCAGUGAUACAGAUCAAAGUGGAUUGGCGCAGCGUGGGGAGCUCUAUGGCGCUGGUAAGACGCUUAUUCUGAUUGGUCCUGCACCCGAGGGGCAGAUGUUGGCCAAAUGUUCUUACAGAGAAGAUGAUGAAUUUCGAGAUGAGCUCCUGGCUUUAUCUGGCUCUUGGGCACGUGAGGGUUACUGGCUGGGCUGGGGAAGCAAGGGGGCUUCACCGGCCUGAGGCUGCCUCCCUCGCCCCUCCACCCACAGGCCUGCUGGGGGCGUGGAGAGGCCCUCAUGGGAGGCUGCUCCCAACCCUCCACCCCACAGGCCUGCCCCGGGGGCUCAUGGGAGGCUGCUCCUGACCCUCCACCCCACAGGUCUGCCCUGGGGGCUCAUGGAAGGCUGCUCCCCGCCCCUCCACCCACAGGCCUGCUGGGGGCAUGGGAGGCCCUCAUGGGAGCUGCUCCUGGCCCUCCACCCCACAGGCCUGCUCCAGGGGGCUCAUGGGAUUGUGUGGACAAGGAGCUUCUGUGGCUUCCUGGGGACCCCCUGUGCCAGGUGAGAGCCACCAAAGGGGCUGCUCAGGCCUCCUGGGGGCUCCUCUCAGGCCCGGAGAGGGCAGGGCUUGCUGUGCUAUUCAUGCUGUGCGUGGGGUCUCCGCCCAUACCCAUUUCCUGUGUCCCCGGGCUGGGCAGUGUCUCCUCUGUGGACCAGCGUCCUAUCCCAGGGUGAGCACUGUCCUGUGCUCUCUGCCUGCCAGGGGACAUGGUGAGAAACCAAGACAGGACGUUCAGAGGGACGGUGCUGUUGACCUGCCCCAGGUCUGGGCCCUGCAUUAAGGCUGGGUGACGAUGAAGAGAGUGGACACUGUAGGGCCUGAGGACAGGGGCAGUCGCCAAGGCCUCCGGGUCUCGUUGGGCCCUGGCCACAGGCCCCGCCCCUCUAUGUGGCCCUGGCCAGCAGCAACAGCUCUGCCUGGGGGCUCCCUGGGAAGGCAGCCCCCGGGCCACGCCAGGCCUCUGAGGCAGGACCCAGGGCAGGUCACUAGCUGAGAUGCUCUGGGCUGGAAGCAAGGGCUGGACGGGGCUUCAGCUGGGUCAGCUGGACCGAGGCCUUUGAGGAAUUGGCUGGUUUUGAUCAGUGCUGACCUGUUGCCCAGAGUCAAGUCCAACCAGGGACCCCAAGUGUCUCGGAGCUUCCAUGCUCUGGGGACCAGAGGGAGAGGCAGCAAGCCAGCGAGCAGGGCCAUCCAUGGCCAGGAGCAGACUCUGGCAAGAGCUGUGAGGUGGACCAAGUCUCAUCGGACCCCCUGCCUGUGGUCUCCACGUGACAACAGGAGACAGCGGUCCUCUGGCCUACAAAGAGGGAAACAUUAACAUGGGCCCUUUACAGAGAGGUCAUCCCGCUUCCCAGACAGGCCUAUCCACGUGUCACGUGCCACCGUGAUCACUGACUCACCUGUGCGUCCUGCUCACGGGGCCCUUGCUCCCCCCAGCAUGGGAGCCCUCCUGGUUAUCGCUUAUCCCCGUGCAGUGCCGCAUCCAAGAAGCCCUCCUGAUUGUCACAGAAGCCAAGUGGGCCCCAGGGGACUCGUCCUCUCCCUGGUGUGUGUCCAGAUGUGACAGAAGGGCUUUGCAGAGGUGGGGCCAGUGCUGAGCCCGACACACACAGCCGCCACCCAAGGCUUCGGCUGCCUCUGGUGCUGGGAUCUGAGGGGGCUUGUCUGUGUGGCCUGUCCCUCUCCUCAAGGGCUCAUGAGGCUAUGCCCUAGGUGCCCCCGACUCAGGCCUUAAAAAUCAGCAAGGAGCCAUGGAUGAGCAUGGUCUGCGUCUUAUGGUGGAUGCCUGCUGCCCAGUAGGUCCACCCCCAGGGCAUCGUGGCCCCUGAGCUGGUAGUGCUGGCCCUGCUCCCACAGGAAUCACGGGUAGGCUGUGUGACACCCUGGUCACAGUGUUCUCAUCCCUGAUGCCAACAUAACCGGGUCUGUGUGCUCCUGUUUGGGCUCCUGCUCUGACUUACACUGGGGCCUCAUGGACACCGAGCUCACAGGCCACAGCUCUAGCUGUCACUCCAGCCUGGAGGAAGCUUGCCUGACCCGUGUCUCCUCUCUAUGAGGCAACACAUUGCCUGGUGGGCAGGGGAUGGAUGGCACUUUAGCACGGGUCAUUGUCACCAGCAGAACCACAGCAGAACCCAAAGCACAGGAUCCAAGAAAUGUGGCAGCAAACAGACCGCACAGGGACUUGGUACCGCCCGAGCACUGAUGCGAGGCAGCCAUCACUCUGCGCCACCCCAGCGGGCAGGGGCCCCGUGUGGGAGUGGUUUCUACUGUGCUGUGGGUGACCACACGACAGCCUUGAUGCUUACUUGGGGGCCACAAGUAGAUUGUGGAGCGUAGGCAGGUGUGCCGACGUGGAACCCGCCCGCAGUGCGCCUGGCUGCCUUCUUCAAAGCAUCAGAAGAGGCAUCGUCAAGAGAAGCCUCAACUUCCUGUGCGCCUUGCACCUGCUGUUACAGGUGGCAACCCAGCACCGCUGUGGAGGUCACGGCUGAGGGGUUCACGGUCUCCCUUUGAUUCCAUGCGUCUAUUGGUGCACGCCUGGCUUGGUCCCGUGUCUCGGCUGCUGCUGGCACGGCACCCAACGUGGGAAUGCAGCGUGUUUCUGAUUUGUUAUGUGGGAUCGGAUGCUGUAUGCUGCAUUAAAGAAGAAUCAAGUCCCAUCUUGUGGCAACAUGGAAGGGCCUGGGAAUGACAGUGUCACCGAAAGACGAGUACCACAUGGUUCCAUGCAAUCGCAGGACCUCAACUGGCUGAGCAUGCGGCGGCGCAGAGACUGUGGUCAGCAGAGACUGGGGAGGGCAGGCGAGCUGGGGUGGGGAGGGCUGGGUUAAGCCGAGCAAAGACUCGGACCCCAGGGAUAAGCUCUGACAGUCUGUCACACGGAAGGGCAGUCGCAGCCCCGAAGUACUAAUCAAAUGGCGAAAGAGGAUUUUGAGUGUUCUAAUCACAAAGAAGUGAUGAAUCCUCAACGGGAGGAUGAUGAGUGUCCUGGGUCCAUUAUGGCAAGUGCCCAAAUAUUACUGUCCUCCGCAGGCAUCACGACUGUGACUUGGUAAAAAGAACAGACGGAUCCAACUAAGACGUGGAGGGGAGCUGGGCUCUGCUUGCAGGCAGCUGUCCCCUGUCUCUGGGGACGGCGUCCCAGCUCCCCGUGGGGGCCGGUCUCAUCCUGCAGAUGGGCCUGAGGCUGGGUUCCCGAUGGCUCCCGCUUACCUUCCGGGGACGGAAUUUUUAGAAAUAAUGAAUAAAGAAGCAGUUAUGUGAAGUAAAGGUUGCUGUCCAUCAAUCCUCGUGAGCACUGCUGUCCCUCAGAGGACCUGGAAGUUUGCCAAACCCCCAGGUUUCAGAAAAGGAGUCAUGAAAUGUUGGCACUUGCUCCGAUUUUCAUGUAAUUCAGUUGUUAAGUUCUGCACAGAUUCGUGCUCCAAAUUCGCCACUGGGGACCAGCUCCAGGGCAGAGAUGAAGCAGCUCCCAAAGUGGCCCCAGCCUUCCGUAUGGGAAUCUGGUGACUUGUAGCAAGUCUGCACACANCCCCCCCCCCAGCUUACCAGAGGCUGAGGUUGAGGUGCAAAAGGAAUGAGCUGAUGGGUCAAGCCUGACCCCGUCGGCCACAUCUGAAACCCAGGGUUCAGGCUGCACAGGACAGGGCUUGGGGGAGGUGGGCUCCUCGGGGACUAUGUGGCUUGGGUUCCCAGCAAAAGAAUGAAUGGAUAUUGGCAGAUAAAUCAGUUGACUUCCCCUGAGAAUGGUUAAUUUUAUGUAUCCAUUUGGCAAGACGAUAUUUCCCAGUCACUCACAGAACCGUCCAGAUGUUGCUGUGAAGGUGUUUUUCAGAUGAACAGCGCACCUGGAGUAACUCAGAUGACCUUCAUAAGGUGGGUGGGCCUUCUCCAAUCAGCUGAAGGCCUUCAGAGAAAGUCUGAGGUUUUCCAAAAUGGAGGGAAUUCUGCUCCUACCUGGCAUCAUGAUGAACUGCACCAUCAGCUCCUCCAUGUCUUUACAACCUGCUCCCACGAUCACAAGUACCAACUCCUCACAGAAAUCAGCCUCUUUCUCUGCCUCCCCCCAUGGAUCAGUUUCUCUGGGGGCCUUGACUAAUAGACCCCACGAGGGGCGGG